UACGAGGGGGGCAAGCGUUACUCGGAAUUAUUGGGCGUAAAGCGUGCGCAGGCAGCUCAGUAAGUUAAACGUAAAAUACUUUAGCUCAACUAAAGAAUAGCUUUUAAUACUACCGAGCUUGAGGCUUAGAGAGGAUAAAGAAAUUUUUGAUGUAGGGGUGAAAUCCAUAGAUAUCAAAAGGAACACCAAAAGCGAAGGCAUUUGUCUGGAUAAGAACUGACGCUGUCGCACGAAAGCAUGGGUAGCAAACAGG
rnacentral:rRNA from 1 species